UACAGUAGGCACGAUGGAAGGCGGAAGGAUGACAGUAUGUCUACUUAUUGUUAUUGCUUGGCAGAUAUCAUUGACUUAUAGCUGUGAGAACGACCGUGUUCUCAGUCUAAAUGAUAUAGAAUUAAGGAGUCCUGAAACUGUGUCCGACUAUUGGGAUACUGGAAAUGGUAUUGUUCUGAAUGACGCAGACCUCACUCCUGGUUGGUAUCGAGCAGUGCACAACGGUUGGCAGUAUCUCAUGACAGAUGUAUCUAACAAACCUGACUAUAUGGCAUGUCAUUCAUAUUACCCAAUAUUUAUGAAAGAAAAACAUACACCAGUGGAUGACCUUCAAGAAACUCCUACUGAUGCCACAGCCUGUAUACGAGAUGAUUUUUAUCCAUGCAGUUCAAAGUACUCAAUACAAGUGAGAAAAUGCAAUGGAGAAAUUCAAUAUAAACUGCAGCCGACAGCUUGGUACAGUGCCUAUUGUUUUGAAAAACAUUCAGAGUAUUCACGGCGCCCCGCCGCUCAAGAAAAUGUUGACCUUAAGGAAAUCAUUGUGUUACCGCAGUUACACUUCAGCGAGAACUCUGCAAGGACUGGGAGACUUUUCAUGAUUCCACAUAACACAUUUCGAUGUAGCUUCAACUUUGAAAAACAAUACUUCUACACUGUUAGCUGGUAUAUAGAUGAUAAUCAGUUUGAGACAAUGGGACCAAGCAAUUUUGAAGAUGAUCUUGCAUUACAUGACACACAACUCGAUUCUAGAAAUAUAAGCUAUGGAAUUGAUAUUCAUUGUGGUGUCAGCGUAUCAGCAUCUUUCAAUGGUAUUCGUACGCCUAUGAAUUUCAGCAGAAAGUUUUAUGCUGGCAUACAGGUGUUAAACACUAGUAUUUCUCUGGACAAAGAGAGCUCAGCUACAAUACAAAUGGUGUCCACGGUGCCAAUAGGUUGCGGUUACCCAAAGACAGUUAGAGGGUGGAUACCGAAUAAUUUAUGCAAGAUAGGAAUGAAACUUUUCGUCCCUGACCAUGACCCUCUGGAUUGCCGAAAAACGUCUAGUGGAUCCGUGCUAAAUCAAGUUCCCGGUGUUGAGAACCAGAUGUGUGUCAAACAAAUAAAGACGCUAACUGAAAAGGAUAUAGAUACUUGGAGAGCGGAUGUUCCAUUCAAUUUUACUGUUGUGACGUCAGAUCACACUUACGAAGAUGACAGCGAAUUCAUCCUUAAGUUACAAUUUGGUGCCACUAUGGAACACGCCAUAUGGAAAAACCAUAUUUUUCCAGAUAUUAAGAUAUUCGUGAAAAACAUGGAACAGUAUCAAUCAAAGAUUUGUAGAUCACGUAAUGACCCUCAUAUGCACACUGCCGAUGGAUACUCUUACGAACAACAUGAAGAAGAAGGAACAUACAUGUUAUACCUUCACAAGAAAAAUAAAAUUGAAGUUCAACAAAUUACGGAGCGUUGUAAUUAUGGGUAUUCGUGGGCAAGAUGUACAUGUGGUGUUGCUAUUAGAGCUGGUCAAGAUGUUUUUAUGAUCAACAAAUGUGGCAUUGCGAAGCUCCUUGCCUUUACACAAUGUGGAGAUGGCGGGAUUUUAGAUGUUGUCAGAAUAAACGACCUUCGCUACAGGGUAUUCACACCUAUUGGGACAAGAAUUGAAAUAAGCCUUACUAGUGUUCGCUCUAAAUGGAUGAAUGUGGAGAUUACAAUGGCUCCAAAGGACAUGAAUAAUGUGGUCGGAUUGUGUGGAAAAUUUGAUGGUGAUAAGAAUAAUGACUUGCAGCACAGAAACGGUAAUACUACAACUCCUCUGGGUAAACACAGAUGGGAAAAUGAUCAUCCCGAUUUUGUCUCCUCUUGGAAAUUCCAUCACCAAAACUAAGUGUCAUGUUAAGCACAGACGCAAAAGGCACACGGGAAAUCAAUCGGAUAAAGAAAUCAUUCGUCUUCUUACUUUGAGUACCCGUAAAAUUGAUCAUUACAGUAACCGAAAAAAGCGUGAAGCUGAUACAUCGGUGAUCAUAUCAGAGGAUGCAACAGAUUUUUGUAAUAAAAAAAUAAAAGGAUCGUUAGCCUUGAAUGAUUU
rnacentral:misc_RNA from 1 species